GUGGAUUAGAUACCCUGGUAGUCCACGCCCUAAACGAUGAACACUCGAUGUUGGCGAUAUACGGUCAGCGUCUAAGCGAAAGCGUUAAGUGUUCCACCUGGGGAGUACGCCCGCAAGGGUGAAACUCAAAGGAAUUGACGGGGGCCCGCACAAGCGGAGGAGCAUGUGGUUUAAUUCGAUGAUACGCGAGGAACCUUACCCGGGCUUGAAAGUUAGUGAAUGAGACAGAGACGUCUCAGUCCUUCGGGACACGAAACUAGGUGCUGCAUGGUUGUCGACAACU
rnacentral:rRNA from 1 species